GCCGGAGGAUGCGAGCGUUAUCCGGAAUUAUUGGGCGUAAAGCGUCCGCAGGUGGCCAGUCAAGUCAGCUGUCAAAGCGUGAGGCUUAACCUGAUACAGGCCGUAGAAACUGACCCGCUAGAGGGUGGUAGGGGUAGAGGGAAUUCCCAGUGUAGCGGUGAAAUGCGUAGAUAUUGGGAAGAACACCAGUGGCGAAAGCGCUCUGCUGGGCCGCACCUGACACUGAGGGACGAAAGCUAGGGGAGAUAAAGGG
rnacentral:rRNA from 1 species